rnacentral:rRNA from 1 species
AUUGAACGCUGGUGGCAUGCUUUACACAUGCAAGUCGAACGGUAACAGCACUUCGGUGGCUGACGAGUGGCGAACGGGUGAGUAAUACAUCGGAACGUGCCUAGUAGUGGGGGAUAACUACUCGAAAGAGUAGCUAAUACCGCAUGAGAUCUAAGGAUGAAAGCAGGGGACCUUCGGGCCUUGCGCUACUAGAGCGGCUGAUGGCAGAUUAGGUAGUUGGUGGGAUAAAAGCUUACCAAGCCGACGAUCUGUAGCUGGUCUGAGAGGACGACCAGCCACACUGGGACUGAGACACGGCCCAGACUCCUACGGGAGGCAGCAGUGGGGAAUUUUGGACAAUGGGGGCAAACCUGAUCCAGCAAUGCCGCGUGCAGGAUGAAGGCCUUCGGGUUGGAAACUGCUUUUGUACGGAACGAAAAGCCCUCUUCUAAUACAGGAGGGUCAUGACGGUACCGUAAGAAUAAGCACCGGCUAACUACGUG